ACUACCGGUGAAACCGGUUUAUCUUCUGCUUGUUCGAAAAAGUUGAAUAAUUCUAAAUGAACAGGAGAAGACAACAAAGAAUAUAGUUCACAUGUAGCGUGUCGAUUCAGCGUGGUAAGACUCUCACUCUCUCUCUUUGCAUGUGGGAAAAACAGCGCUAUCACCAAAGCGACGGAACGCGAAUGGAGGAGAAGCUUUUAAAGCCUCUGAUGGGGAGGAUUUUCCUCACACUAAAGAGACGGAUCGCUCUGGAAUGAAUGGUGUUGGGAAGAGAUAAGCCAACCUGGCUUUUGAUGGAUAUCUUUUGGCAUGAAAAGGUGGAGAGGAGCAAUUUUCCAAAACAUGUCAGUGACAUUUGAAGGCACUUUAGUAAAAAAAAAAAAAAAAUGUCUAGAUAUAUAUCAGAAAUUAAUAUAUUUUUAUAUGCAUUUAAGAUUUUGUUCAUAAUAAAUAUAGUACAACACUGUC